GCCAGGAGCAGUGGCGCACACCUGUAAUUCCAGCGGCUCAGGAGGCUGAGGCAGGAGGAUCACGAGUUGGAGGCCAGCCUCAGUGCGGCCCCAAGCAACUCAGCGAGACCCUGUCUCUA
rnacentral:sRNA from 1 species